UGAGUAACCUGCCCUUAACUCUGGGAUAAGCCUGGGAAACUGGGUCUAAUACCGGAUAUGACUCCUCAUCGCAUGGUGGGGGGUGGAAAGCUUUAUUGUGGUUUUGGAUGGACUCGCGGCCUAUCAGCUUGUUGGUGAGGUAAUAGCUCACCAAGGCGAUGACGGGUAGCCGUCCUGAGAGGGUGACCGGCCACACUGGGACUGAGACACGGCCCAGACCUCCGUACGGGGAGGCAG
rnacentral:rRNA from 1 species